rnacentral:lncRNA from 1 species
UGUAAAUGUCAUGAAGGCUGUAAAUAAUUUCCUUGUGUCUUGGCAGAUCCCAAAUUCUUUGAUAACUUUUCAGGUAAGACUCUGUAAAAUAAUAUAAUUGGAAUAGAAUCAGUUCUUGAAUCACAUAUGACAUUAACAUGUUUGAAGUUAAAGUGGAAUCAGUGCAUUUGCAUGUCACACUGUUUUUUCAAAAAUAAAGUGAAUUAAAUUUAGUAAGUCUUUCACAUCUGCUUUGCUAACAACAGUUGACACAGACACAACCUGCACGCCAAUACCAGAAGAUGCUUCUUUCCCAGAUGAAGUGCAAAGCAGAAAGCGAAAAGUUGAUGCAACUUCAGACAAAACCCGCAGAUCCAAACGCAACAAAAAAGCAACAGCGUGGCCUGAAAGUCCCUCAAACGGAAGGCUGCCCAACAUUACCCCUGAGAGUAGUUUCCAUCUGAGCUCAAACCCAUUCCAGCAUGUAUUACGCAUUCCCUUCAGCCCCCCUCUUCUGCCCCCUAGUGGAGGUUCACCACUACAAUUCAUCCAGACCAUCGGCCCUUAUACGGCGCCUCUAAUUGGCACUGUGGUUCCAACAGGGCCUACAUACGUGAUUGUAUCUGCAGUGUCGCCCCAAUGUGUGAGUCCAGGCACUCAGAUAAUUCCGCUUUCACCUGGUAAGUUAAAAAGAAGAUGGUCACAUGAGUAA